rnacentral:rRNA from 1 species
CUACGGGAGGCACCAGUAGGGAAUAUUGCCCAAUGGACGAAAGUCUGAGGCAGCAACGCCGCGUGCGCGAUGAAGGCCUUCGGGUUGUAAAGCGCUUUUACGAGGGAAGAGAAAGGACGGUACCUCGUGAAUAAGGAUCGGCUAACUACGUGCCAGCAGCCGCGGUAACACGUAGGAUUCGAACGUUAUCCGGAUUUACUGGGCGUAAAGCGCGUGCAGGCGGUUUGGUAAGUUGGAUGUGAAAGCUCCAGGCUCAACCUGGAGAGGUCGUUCAAUACUGCCAGACUAGAGGACGGUAGAGGGAGGUGGAAUUCCGGGUGUAGUGGUGAAAUGCGUAGAUAUCCGGAGGAACACCAGUGGCGAAGGCGGCCUCCUGGGCCGUUCCUGACGUUCAGACGCGAAAGCUAGGGUAGCGAACGGGAUUAGAUACCCCGGUAGUC